rnacentral:rRNA from 1 species
GAAUAUUGGGCAAUGGGCGAGAGCCUGACCCAGCCAUGCCGCGUGCAGGAAGACGGCCUAUUGGGUUGUAAACUGCUUUUAUCUGGGAAGAAAAUGCCCAUGCGUGGGAACUUGCCGGGACAAGAUGAAUAAGCACCGGCUAACGCCGUGCCAGCAACCGCGGUAAUACGGAGGGUGCAAGCGUUGUCCGGAUUUAUUGGGUUUGAAGGGUGCGUAGGCGGCUGAUUAAGUCAGCGGUGAAAGACUUCGGCUUAACCGGAGCAGUGCCGUUGACACUGGUCAGCUUGAGUGCUGCAGGGGGUACAUGGAAUUGAUGGUGUAGCGGUGAAAUGCAUAGAUACCAUCAGGAACACCGAUAGCGAAGGCAUUGUACUGGGCAGCAACUGACGCUGAUGCACGAAAGCAUGGGUAGCGAACAGG